CGGAGUGUAGCGCAGUCUGGUAGCGCACUUGUUUUGGGUACAAGGGGUCGUAGGUUCGAAUCCUGCCACUCCGACCA
rnacentral:tRNA from 1 species